UGGCAACAGAUUACAUAUUGGAAAAGUAAAGUUAAGGAAAAACACAAAAAAACAAAAAAAAAGAAAGAACCUUGUUCAAGAUUUUUUGAGGAUGAAGCGUAAUGAUAGUGAUUUAAAAUUUCACUUUUAGACUGUUUUUGGUAAAAUCCUUAACAUGGACAUGCACCUGAUUUCACCACAUAGACAGACAACGCGUCCUGACAGACAGUCUCCUCUUAACACACUACUUCACCCAGAAGCUGCUGACAGGCAGGCGCAUAGCCCUUCCCCUCAUGAGUAGUUGAAGAGUUGACAUUACCAACACUGAACAAUACUUUGUGAAGAACUUUGAGAGCUGAUUUUCCGACUACUAUUGGAGGCUGGGCCACAGCUUCUCAUCGCUGGAUGAUUGUGCUACUGACUUUACCUUCUCGGACCUGUACCUCCCAGCUGUACGAACGUGUGUGAGUUGGAUGUGAGGACGGGAGCGAGCGUGAGAGAGAGAGCCUUCCCCUAAGCCCUUGGAACCCUGGAUUUUUCCCCGUCACUGUAUAUAUUAUCGCACUGGUGUGUAAAUAAACGGUGUUCUGAGACGUC